ensembl:lncRNA
CCCGUACUUGCUGGUUACCACUCGUCUUCAGGGUCCUUACAUCAUGUCGCAAUACUCGUCCCUAAGCCAAGCACAGCUGGCAGUACUUCCUCUGGAGCCCACCAGGACUGCUCCUGAAACGACCCCACAGCUGCAGGGGGCAGAUGGGCAGCUGCACUGCAUGAGAAACAUUGGCCAGAAGACUCUCUUUGAAGAUUAUAUUUACGAACUGAAAGAAAAAACAUCAUAGCAACCCUUCCAGUAGACCUCCUGGAUAUUUGACUGGUGCUAAGCAGUCAUGUGUUGCUCUCCUGAAGCACAAGCUCUGGAUGAAGAUACAGAAGAAUGAUGGAACCAACCUUGCAAACACUUUUCAGAACAAUUUGGAUCCACUACUAAAUCUAAGCUUAAAAAUCGGGUCCUAUCUUUACAAUGAGAUAAGAUAAGUGAAUGCAGGCUAAGUGAAUCUUUAUUGGUGAGCAGUUUUGAAACAAUAACUUCGAGCCAGUUAACACAGACAAGGCAAAAAAUUUUCAUCUCCACAGAUUUUUGCUUAUGAGAGAAGAUUUACCUCCCGGUCAGCUGGUUCUAGAG